CUUCAAGGAGCCCAGCCACAGGGGCUGCUGGCCCUCGGGCCUGUCCUUGCCGUACGUGGCGAUCAGGGCCUGGGCCUC
rnacentral:antisense_RNA from 1 species